rnacentral:lncRNA from 1 species
UGAAGGAGGGCUUGGGUUUUUGAACAGCUUCAAUGGAGUAAGAUUUAAAGAAUGGAAAAAACUAACAAUGAGAAGAUGAAACAAGAAGAAAAUUUUAGGGUAUUGUAUUUUUUGAUUGUUGUUGUGUUGGGGUUUUUGUAGUAUUGUGAUUAAGGGAAAAUGAAGCAAUGAAAUGGGUUUUUGGCAGAAAAAAAAGAAGAAGAAGAAAAUGAAGAAAUGUAGAAGCAGAUGCAAAAAAGAAAAAAAGAAAAGAAAAGAAAGGAAAAAGGGAAGAGGAGAGAAAACAAAAAAGAAAAAGGAAGUAUAAUAGGACGCCACGUGGC